GACGAACGCUGGCGGCGCGCCUAACACAUGCAAGUCGAGCGGGGUACCUUGAUGAUUUCCUUCGGGAAUGAAUUAAGACUACUUAGCGGCGGACGGGUGAGUAACACGUGAGCAACCUGCCCUAGAGACUGGGAUAACAUUUGGAAACGAAUGCUAAUACCGGAUGAAGUCUAGAAUCCACCUGGAUACUAGACCAAAGAUUUAUCGCUCUAGGAUGGGCUCGCGCCUGAUUAGCUAGUUGGUGAGGUAAUGGCUCACCAAGGCAACGAUCAGUAGCCGGACUGAGAGGUUGAUCGGCCACAUUGGGACUGAGACACGGCCCAGACUCCUACGGGAGGCAGCAGUGGGGGAUAUUGCACAAUGGAGGAAACUCUGAUGCAGCGACGUCGCGUGAACGAAGAAGGCCUCGGUUGUAAGUUACUGUC
rnacentral:rRNA from 1 species